rnacentral:lncRNA from 1 species
CAUUUUUUAAGCCAUACAUGCUAAUGGGUUCAAGGUUGAUGGGAUAUUGACAAAAACAAAGGAAAAGGAAAUGUUUUUCGGACCAUGUUUCAGCUGGCAUCUGCUCUCCUUAUCCUUCCCCUUUGCUAUCAAAAUUGUCAGGAUUCUUAGGCUAAUUAGAAGUUUUUAAAAUGAUAAAUUCGUUCCUUUGCUAUCUGGUUUUUAAGGUUGGAUAAAUUCCUCAGAAGUUUCACUAAAAAACUGGAUUUGCUGUUGUUGCAAUUUUUUGUUCCAAUUUAGGCUUUGAUUCUGAUCUAGUUCCAUGCAAUAUCCGACCAUCUUGGCUAUAUUUUUUCACUCAAGACAUGUUGAAAAAUUUAAAUAGCAUGCCACUAUACCCCUGUCUGCCUUUUCUUCCCUCCUCUGCAACAAUUCCCUGCUAAUGUUUUGAAAAAACUAUCGUCCUUCCCUCUGCAACCUAGCAUGCAUAGGACAACCCCCCUUUUCAUGCCUGUGCAGCUGUAACACAGAGCUCCAGUCCAAGGGAAACAAUUUUUUGCACCUCCUCUGUGCCAUCUAUGGAAGAAGACACAGGGGAGCCUCAUACCAUCUAAUGGCUGAGAUUUCAGCCCUAAUGCAAACGGUUGGGAUAAGAAGGCGUGAGGCUGGUCUCUAAGUUUGCUUGGCUAUAUAAGCAAGCUAUGGAGAAAAAGCGUAAAAAAAAAAGGAGGAGAGAGAGGGAGACAGAGAUAGUUCAAAUACAGACAGCAAAAAGAGUGAAGGUUGAGAAAAAAGAGAAGAGGGGAGGCGGAGAAGAGUAGAAAACAGAGAGCUAGCAUAAGGUUGAGUUUAGGGAAGCAGAAAAUCAGUUAAAGAUGAGGGAAGAUCACUUUCAGCUCAUCCUACUUUGUCGAAAAGGAUUUCACAAAACUCUAAAAGGGUUUUAAAGAAGCUCCUAACGGCAGAAAGAGGAAGGCUUUGAGUUUAGAUGUUUGUCUAUGUUAGAGUUAUACAUUUCUUCCUUUUUCUCCUUCGUGAGGAACCGUGAGCCUAAAAGGGCUCCACCCCUUUUCUCUUUUAUUUGGGUGUCUCUCUGCCUUAGGAUGUUGCAUAGAAGGAGGUUGGCUCCUAGAUAAAGUUAUGUCCAGAAGAAAAAAAACAAGAGAAGGUCCUCUUUAGUUCAGCUUGGCUCCUAAAAGUUUGUUUGUCCAGAGAAGAAAGUGAAACAGGAGGGAGGUCCCUUUGCGUUUGAAGUAAUCUUUUGUCCAUGUUCAGAGGCUCAUGUUUUCUUUCCUGCUUGGUGAAAUGAAAUAACUGGCUAUGUUGUUUUGGGUUUAGUCCGUGAUGUAGGUGGUAUGAAAUCAUGCUCUUCAAGGUCUUUCCUUUUGCAUUGAAACUGCUAUGGCAGUUUUCCUUGCAUGAAACUAGUAUGGCAGUGCUCCUAUAUUGGUAAAAGAGGAUAGGUCAUGAGUCACACUGCGUAGGAUUUCCCCACAUGACAAGUUUAUUCUUGUGCUGGAUUAAUAACCUUA